rnacentral:rRNA from 1 species
UCCGUAGGGCGCGAGCGUUGUCCGGAAUCAUUGGGCGUAAAGAGCUCGUAGGCGGCCGGUUGCGUCUGCUGUGAAAUCCCGGGGCUUAACCCCGGGCGUGCAGUGGAUACGGGCUGGCUGGAGGCAGGCAGGGGAGAAUGGAAUUCCCGGUGUAGCGGUGAAAUGCGCAGAUAUCGGGAGGAACACCGGUGGCGAAGGCGGCAUCCUGGACCAACACUGACGCUGAGGAGCGAAAGCCAGGGGAGCAAACGGG